rnacentral:rRNA from 1 species
GAGUUUGAUCCUGGCUCAGGAUGAACGCUGGCUGCAUGCCUGAUACAUGCAAGUCGAACGAAAGUUACUUCGGUAACUUUAGUGGCGAACGGGUGAGUAAUACAUAGGUAAUCAACCCUUAAGACGAGGAUACCGUUUGGAAACGAACGUUAAUACUGGAUAGGAUAUCAUAAACCGCAUGGUUAGAUAUUUAAAGGAGCAAUCCGCUUAGGGACGAGCCUGUGGCGCAUUAGUUAGUUGGUAAGGUAAUGGCUUACCAAGACCGCGAUGCGUAGCCGGACUGAGAGGUUGAACGGCCACAUUGGGACUGAGACACGGCCCAAACUCCUACGGGAGGCAGCAGUAGGGAAUUUUCGGCAAUGGACGAAAGUCUGACCGAGCAAUGCAGCGUGAACGAAGAAGUAUUUCGGUAUGUAAAGUUCUUUUAUUAGGGACGAAAAAGUCGUAAGACAAUUGACGGUACCUAAUGAAUAAGCUCCGGCUAACUACGUGCCAGCAGCCGCGGUAAUACGUAGGGAGCGAGCGUUAUCCGGAAUUAUUGGGCGUAAAGGGUUCGUAGGUGGCAUAAUAAGUCUAUAGUUAAAGUUCGGGGCUCAACCCCGUGAUGCU